rnacentral:rRNA from 1 species
CAAGCGGUGGAGCAUGUGGUUCAAUUCGACGCAACGCGAAGAACCUUACCUGGGCUCGAACGGCUUUGGAUCGACGGUGGAAACACUGUUUUCCCGCAAGGGACCGGAGUCGAGGUGCUGCAUGGCUGUCGUCAGCUCGUGUCGUGAGAUGUUGGGUUAAGUCCCGCAACGAGCGCAACCCUUGUCCUGUGUUGCCACUCCGUAAGGAAGCACUCUCAGGAGACCGCCAGCGAUAAGUUGGAGGGAGGUGGGGAUGAUGUCAAGUCAUCAUGGCCUUUAUGUCCAGGGCUACACACGUGCUACAAUGGUCGGUACAAAGCGCUGCUAACCCGCGAGGGGGAGCCAAUCGCAAAAAGCCGGCCUCAGUUCGGAUUGCAGGCUGCAACUCGCCUGCAUGAAGCUGGAAUCGCUAGUAAUGCCGUAUCAGAAUGAUGGCGUGAAUACGUUCCCGGGCCUUGUACACACC